rnacentral:rRNA from 1 species
AUGGCUGUCGUCAGCUCGUGUCGUGAGAUGUUGGGUUAAGUCCCGCAACGAGCGCAACCCUUGCCCUUAGUUGCCAGCAGGUUAAGCUGGGCACUCUAAGGGGACUGCCGGUGACAAACCGGAGGAAGGUGGGGAUGACGUCAAGUCCUCAUGGCCUUUAUGUCCAGGGCUACACACGUGCUACAAUGGCGCAUACAGAGGGAUGCCAACUCGCGAGAGGGAGCCGACCCCAGAAAGUGCGCCGUAGUUCGGAUUGCAGUCUGCAACUCGACUGCAUGAAGUCGGAAUCGCUAGUAAUCGCGGAUCAGCACGCCGCGGUGAAUACGUUCCCGGGCCUUGUACACACCGCCCGU